rnacentral:sRNA from 1 species
GCUGAGCUGGGGAAACUUAAAGGUGGGGCUUGGCUGUGCUAUGUCCCCGUUUUGUUGCGGGGGUUGCUUGUGUCUCCCAGCGCCGUUUGGAGGUUCAGGGUAGGGGCUGGGGGUUGUCUUAUCAGAACCAGUUCCUCCAUCCGGGAGAGCGACGGGGUCUAGGGAGAGGUAAGAGGAUGGUUCAAGAGAACCCGCUGAGGUUUCUAGGUACGUUGGUGUGUAGGCUUUUGGUUGUAAUAUGGAACCAUCCGCUGUUGAUCGAGCGGAGGACGGUGAGGAGCGCAAGGAGGACUGAGAAGUUCCUGUGGAAACUGGUGGCCGCUUGCUCAUGUUCAGCCUGGUCAUUUCCAACGGCCUAUCUUCGUCGCCCGAUGAGUCCCCCGCCAACCCUCGAUUGUGAUCCUGUGAUCCAGUAUUAUCCCCUGUGCCUUUUCGGGUAGUUCCUGGUUUUCCCGACAUUACCAAUGUCGUUGACGAUACCGAGUUGACUCUUCUGAAGGUCUCUGAGCUGCCAUUCCCUUGUCGCCGACGAGACAUGAUGGAUGACGCUGUAAGAUCUCCUUCGACCAUAGUGCCGCCUUCGGCGACAUGUGCAAACAAUUUCUUAAUCCAUCGCGAGCAGCGGAAAAUCUGCCUCCAUCCUUCGGGAAACAAGGCGGGGAACUGCAGAAAUCCAUGCGAAAUGCCUGGGAUCAGAGACACUUCCACGUGCGCUUUUUCGUCGAAUGUUCCCAUGGACCUCUCAAGUCCCAGCUCCUGUCGUUCGCGGAAUCGACGCAGUUUCGCCUGGCGGAUUCGCCCUGCGAAAAUCACCGUGUCGUCGACUAGCGGGUCUCGUUCCCCGGUUAAGAAGUAGGUUUUGGGAAAGCGUGUCAGAAGCGCUUCCGGCGCAAGGAGCGGGGAGAGGAGGAAGUCUGAGCUGAAGUCUGGACGGUUGUAUGGGCCGAUGUAGAGGAUUAUGGUAGCACGCAUCAUCUCGGGGGAUAGGAUGCGAUCGUUGAAGUAGGAAAUCAUGGAGGAGACAGCGAGGCGUGUUUCGAUCUGCCCGGGGUGCUUGUCGGCUGUGGCCACGACUUGGGAGGCAGUGUUUCCUGGAACGGGUUUGUCGAUGCUUUCGGUGUCAAUCACUGGUUCAUGUUCUUCAUGAAUUACCCCGGCGUGCUGCUGGGCGAAAUAGUCGUGGAUGACCGGGUGUUCUAGGGAGUCGUCGCGGAGGGUUGAUACUUGGGAGGAAGCGGAGGCUAACUUGCGAUAAUCCUCACUUUUUUUUCGGAGGACAUUGCAAUUCGUCUCUCGCAUUCCCCGCUCCCGAAUUAAGGACAUCUCCUCAUCCGUCAUCCAGCUACCUAUGUUCAUAUCUAAUGACGGGUAAAUGAGCACUAGGCCAACAGGAGGAGGUAGCGAGUUCUCUCCGCGCCUUUUCCGUGAAUCCGUGCUCCCUGACUGGAGAACCAUCAAUGUGACGCCAACAGCCAAGUUGCCGCCAGCGCUGUCACCCGUAAUGACAAUUUUAGGACUGACUUUACCACUUAGCCCGAUGCAACGGCCACGACUACUGACGAUGGUGUGGUAAACGUCGUAGCACUCAUUCAGGGCGUACGGAUAUGGAUAUUCAGGCGCCUUCUUGUAAUCCAAGCUCAGGACCGGCACAUCCGUCCUAGCGGCCCAGGCUAGGAGCUUGUCAUCACUCAUCCGCGGGCCCAUGGCCACAAACCCGCCACCGGGGAUAUCCAGAACGAUAUUAGUAUGGUUCUUCAGCGUACUGAGCGGGCCGUUAUAAUAGAGCCAUGCAAUGCACGGAUCCCUGUACGACGAUUCUUUCGGCCUCGGAAUCCGAAUCUGAACCGGCGCAUAACCCAUUAGGCGCGGGCGCAUAAGCUUUCCGAGGAACGACAGGUACGGUGUCGUAGCCUUAUUCCACGACACUCGCAGGUGCUCCACCGUCAACACAGCCCUGACCUUCCGAACCUUCUCAUCUGCAUGCUCCGCGGCAAUGAGAUAGUAAAUUGAGAAGACGAUGGACGCUAUAUCCCGCAGCCAUUUUCUCUUGAUAUUCAUGGCCGUCCAGAACCCAGCAUCCAGCGCCGUGGUUACCCAAGUGGCACGGAAGUAGGAUCGGGAAUAUAGAUUCGCGAGCGGCUCUGGAGACUCGAGGCCCGUUAACUUGGCAAAAUUCCGUGACACAUACAGCCACAGAAAGGUCACGACGGUGGCCUGCCAGGGAGUGACUCGCUUGUACAAGCGGGAAGAUAGGAGGCGAAUGCCCGGUGGACCAUGAUUGUUGCCCCUGCAAUGACAUGGUAUAUGUCAGUCCGUUUCCUUGCUUCCUUGUGUUUGGAAGACGGCCAUUGGCAGCCUGCUCUGGAGCCCAGGCCGAACAACCGCGAAUUUAGGGAAAUGCCAUCAACACUCACCGUAGGAGAUAUAAGGACCAAAACGACACAACGGCGAAGACCUGUAUCUUGCGAAACUGGGUCGACGGCCUCCCCAGGACAUGAUCUAUCAACGGCUGUGUUAGUCAAUGGAUACGUGCCAGAAUUGAGAAUUUCGACAAGACAAUAGGAUGAAAGCAGCAAACCGCACCUAUCAUCUUGGCCUUCUCCGAACUUGUCAAGGCACCGAAACCCGUAUAUUCUAUAUUCUGUGAUAACCCCUAAUUUUGCGCCCCCCAGACAGAAACAGCAGCGACGAAAGAGAACAAGUUGUCCGUCAGAAGGAUCCCGUAACGGCAAAGAAGGUCUAUUCCAGCGUUUUUGCGCCGUCUGACUGCCGCAACCUGUAAACUGCUGACUCGGCUAUGUUGCACCCAGAGCGCCGAAAUAGACACAAAUCCGGAAUUACCGACCACCACCAAACCAGAACAGGUCAAUAUUUAUUUAGAUAGAAAAAAAAUAAAAGAAUCGGUGGUGUGAUCAGCGCAUAUCAGUACGAGGACUGGGGAUAAGUCGGAAAAGGUUGGAAAAUCAAAAGACGUUUCUGUGACGAAAGGGAAGGUUUCAAGUUUCAACCUAAGAACGUUGCCCUGCCGCAAGAACAACUGCCUCGCUACUGAAUUAAAAUGGGAAAGGGAAAAAAAAAAAGCCAAAAUGCGAACGAUCAAAAGUCCAUGCGAUGCUCAAUCGUGGCCUCGAUCCGCAGAAUCAAUCAAUGAAUCGCCUAUCGCCGGCGGAAAAGUUGCAAAACACACACAAAACAACAUCGUCAUCGGGUGUUUUGCAUGUGAAAAAUUACCGCGGUACACCCGCGAUACGCUCGCGAUACACGGCCCUGUGAUUGGCUGAGGCCUGCGCCCGCCGUUCGACUUCUCCAGGCUUGUGACCAGGAGGAGAAGAAUCAAGCCCGCCGUUGCAUCAGCUGCGAAAGGAAAAUUUGAUCGGGUUUCAAAAAGGCGCCAAUCAGAUAGCUAUAGCUACUAGUACUGUACAUAGAUGUGGUUCGGUGUGUGCGGGGUGUAGUACUGUGUCCUCACGGCAAAACCCUGCUCCGAGUAAUAGGAACAACAGAAGAAACAGAAGAAACGCUAUCUACCAACAAUGGGAAUCACAAAUGAGAGCAAAAACCAAAAAUAUAAAAUAAAUACAAAACACAAAUAAACACAAACACAAACACAAACACAGAAGAAACGAGAUGCCAACAAUGGUCAGAUCAUGGGCCCCCACAAUCCAAUGCUACGCUAUAGUUUCCUGCAGUAAUUCCUUCCCCGAUCCACCUGCCAAUCACAAAGCCAGACCUCCACCACCAUCCCCAGUAGCCCUGCCACACAGAUGCCUGCGGAGUCACUCACCGUCGUCGCUCCCAGGGAAAACUCCCGGUCGUCCUUUGGGACCCGGUCCGAAAUCUCCGCGAAUGUAUUCACGUACACCAGCCCGCCCAGCAGCCCUUCCCAGAAAACGAUGAGGAAUAUUAUAUACACGCUGGGGAUGAAGUUGAACAGCGCAUGGAGGAUGAGAAUGCUCAGGUUAAUCACUUGGAGGGAGGAGGGCAGGUAGAGAUUGUGGACGCGGAUGAAGGGCGUGGAGGAGCGCGAGAUGAAGACGCCGGUUUGGUAGAUGGCGUUGUAGGCUGGAUAGAAGGCGCGGAAAUGCUUGAAAGGUGUUUCUUUCAGGGGGAAGAGGAGUGUUGGGGCAACGCCUUGAUUUAUCGUGUAUUCGGCGAUGUAGACCAGGAGAAGGGGGAGCAUGCUACAUAGAUUGAGU